GUCAUAGUCAUUUCAUUCAAACAAUUGGGCAUUGCAUUCAUAAUGUAGCAUAUACAUAAAUCAUUAUAAAAAGAAAUAAAAAAUUCUAUUUUUUAGAAAAGUUGACUUUUGGUCAACCAGUUGACCAAAGUCAACCAUUGCAUUUCUGCACCCUAAAGUCCUAAUACUGAUCACAUUUUAUCAUGGCAUUGAUUUAUUGAUGAUCCAUGGUCACACUUCCUCCAUUGAUCAAGAAAUUCCAUUGUUUUGCAAAUUUGGUCAUUAUGCCUUGAAACUUGCUUUUCUUGCCUUGCAUAUUGACUUGCAACCUUGCCCACCAUACCUACAUCAAAGCCAGAAUUCUGCAGCAAAACCAAUCAUGCAUUCACCAACAAUCAACCAUUCAAACCAUUAGCAUAAUAUACCCAAAUGCAAUGCACAUUUCAAAUAUUCAAUCCAUAAGCAAACCUUGGAAAUCAGACUAUCCAUACUUGAUAAAAGCAUAUCACAACAACACUUACCAUUGUUAUCAUGCAUCAAUCAUCAAGCAAGGGACUUAGCAUCCUGCAGCAAUAACCAUGCAGGCAAUACAACAAACCACCAUGCAGCAUGUGCAAGGCAAUUUCAGGUCUGCAACCAAGCUUGCUAGGAGCCUGCACCAGUUAAGCCAGUUGGACAUGUUAUCCUACAAAAAGCAACAAAGCAUAAACCAUAGACCUGUAGCACAUCCAAACAACAAGCUCCUGCAGCAAGCCAUGACCAAGAUCAUUUUAUAUUCGAGUUGCAGCCAUACAUAAUAACACUCAGCAAAUCAUACAAACCAGUCCUGCAAUCAAUCCAUAAA
rnacentral:lncRNA from 1 species